AUGACAGAUGACAGUGAGAGGCUAGAGCCUCUAUGUAUGUUAGUGCGGGUGCAAUAGCCAGGGGAUAUCUCUCCCUCUAACCGGCUAGGUAGGGGGAUCGCUCAUGGUUUCUUUGACAAUAUUGCUUUCUGUCUAACGAAUGCUUUUGAUAUUUGUUGCACUGCCGUGGGUAGGCAGAGGACCAAAUUUGUCUCUUUGUCUCUUCUAUAAUUUUUCACAAUGGAACUGUUGCAUUUAUCUCUCUUUUUGAAUUCAGGCCAUUUUAUUUCUGUGCAGCGAUUGUGCGGUAUGGGUGGACCAAGUGCUAUAGAGUUUGAUUCCUCUGGCGCUUUGCUGUCCAACUUGCUCCACUUCCACAGCAAUGGCGAUGGGGAGAUAUGUGCUAAAUGCUGAGUCUGGGGAGGGCAUCAUUCUCGAACAACAGUAGUGGACAGGGACUCAGGGGAUAUACGCAGUAGGAUACUAAGGAUUUAUCCAAUGGGACAUUUUGGCUCUGAGACUGUUUCUUAUGGAAUCUAAAGCGUUGACUCUGGGUAGAAGAUGAUGUUGUAACGGUGGCUCCGCGAUGCGGAAAACUGAAAAUUCCUGAUUCCAUGAUUCCGUACAACGCAAAAUGCAAAGAGAGC
rnacentral:sRNA from 2 species